rnacentral:lncRNA from 1 species
UGUCAAAAUCCAAUAUCAUUUAGUCAAGCAAAAACCUUACAAUCGGUACACAUCCAUGAGUUUCAUUUCAACACAACAUUCAAUAAUAUUUAUUUGUAAGCACAACUAUCCACAAAAUAACAUACUAUAGUUAGAUUUAAAACUACAUAAUUCAAUCAAGAAUCCAUUCCAAAAUAACUCCAUUUGCACACCGCAUCCAAAAGC